CCUUGGCUUGCAAGAGCUUGAGAAAAGGUGAGUCAUGUUCCUCCUAGCUUUCAGGGAUGAAAAAUCUAUCAAAGACUAUAACUUUGAACUUCUUGGGAGACAACUCAUGUUCAAGUUUGUUAAUUUUAUUUUAGUUACUUUCUUUUAGUUUAUUUUGUUUUUAUUUUUAAAAAAAUAGCGAAAAAAAUUGUGUGCAAGCUAUUGUUGCCAACGCACAAUAGGCACACACACACACACUAAAUUUCAACCUCACUCUCAUCUCUUCUACCUUCAACACCCACCACCCAUAUACCCCUCCCCUCACUCAAUUUCCUUCAAUUUUUCAUCAAUUCCACCAUCACCCAUCACUCCAUUCACCAUUUUUGGGUCUUUCCACUCCUCCAUUCAUCACCCAUUCAAAAUCUCUUCCAAGAUACCACCAAAAGGUUCAGGUUCGAGUCUAGGCACUAAGAAAAGGCAGCAACCAAUUUUCAAGAACCCCUCAAAGAGGCCUACUGAAGAGGAGGAGGAAAAAUAAGUUAUACCUAAACCCCACCAAAAGGUUCAGGUUUGAGUUUGCUUCAACAUCAAAUUAUAAAUACUACUAGCAAAUUGUUGCAAACGCUCAGAUGAUCAAGGAAAGGCCGAUGACAUUAGCAUCCGAUGAGGACCCUUGAGAAAUUGGGGAGGCCAUAGCCAAGAAAAGGUGGAGUGAAAUGCUUUGCAAACAAACUGCUUUAGGAUGUGCCAACCUUAUUGUUGAGUUUUAUGCCAACGCUCAGUAUGACUUCUCCUAUCGUACUCCCUCAGUGCCUACUUACAAGUCUUGUAGGGGAGUAGAGAUUGACUAUAGUCCUGAUGCUAUCAAGAGGUUCCUGAAAUUUUCAUCACUGCAGUUGAUGCAAGGAUCUUUGGAGAAAACAAGCCAACAUUCCAUACCCUUUUGAAUCAGUAUCUCCAAAUGAAGAGAUUCUUGAUACUCUUGUUGUCACGGGAGCCAUUUGGGGACCAACUAUACUUGGGGGACUACCUUGUUGUUGUUGUUGUUGUUGUUGUUGUUGUUGAUAAACUAGGUUGAGAGCUUUGUUAGAAACGUCAUACUUCAUUUGGUUUGCACUUUAAUUUUAUGCAAUCCUCUUUAGCUUUGUUAGACUAGUAUAUGUUGUGGAUAUUGUUUUAUUUCCA